rnacentral:rRNA from 1 species
UGGGGAAUAUUGGACAAUGGGCGCAAGCCUGAUCCAGCCAUGCCGCGUGAGUGAUGAAGGCCCUAGGGUUGUAAAGCUCUUUCACCGGUGAAGAUAAUGACGGUAACCGGAGAAGAAGCCCCGGCUAACUUCGUGCCAGCAGACGCGGUAAUACGAAGGGGGCUAGCGUUGUUCGGAUUUACUGGGCGUAAAGCGCACGUAGGCGGACUUUUAAGUCAGGGGUGAAAUCCCGGGGCUCAACCCCGGAACUGCCUUUGAUACUGGAAGUCUUGAGUAUGGUAGAGGUGAGUGGAAUUCCGGGUGUAGAGGUGAAAUUCGUAGAUAUUCGGAGGAACACCGGUGGCGAAAGCGGCUUUUUGGCCUGCAACUGACACUGAGGCGCGAAAGCGUGGGGAGCAAACAGG